CGGAGGGUGCAAGCGUUAUCCGGAUUUACUGGGUUUAAAGGGUGCGUAGGUGGGCGAGAAAGUCAGUGGUGAAAUCUCCGGGCUUAACCCGGAAACUGCCAUUGAUACUAUUUGUCUUGAAUACUUUGGAGGUAAGCGGAAUAUGUCAUGUAGCGGUGAAAUGCUUAGAUAUGACAUAGAACACCAAUUGCGCAGGCAGCUUACUACACAGUAAUUGACACUGAGGCACGAAAGCGUGGGGAUCAAACAGGAUUAGAUACCCUGGUAGUCCACGCCCUAAACGAUGGAUACUCGACAUUAGCGAUAUACAGUUAGUGUCUGAGCGAAAGCAUUAAGUAUCCCACCUGGGAAGUACGAUCGCAAGAUUG
rnacentral:rRNA from 1 species